rnacentral:rRNA from 1 species
AGAUUGAACGCUGGCGGCAGGCCUAACACAUGCAAGUCGAGCGGCAGCACGGGUACUUGUACCUGGUGGCGAGCGGCGGACGGGUGAGUAAUGCCUAGGAAUCUGCCUGGUAGUGUGGGAUAACGCUCGGAAACGGACGCUAAUACCGCAUACGUCCUACGGGAGAAAGCAGGGGACCUUCGGGCCUUGCGCUAUCAGAUGAGCCUAGGUCGGAUUAGCUAGUUGGUGAGGUAAUGGCUCACCAAGGCGACGAUCCGUAACUGGUCUGAGAGGAUGAUCAGUCACACUGGAACUGAGACACGGUCCAGACUCCUACGGGAGGCAGCAGUGGGGAAUAUUGGACAAUGGGCGAAAGCCUGAUCCAGCCAUGCCGCGUGUGUGAAGAAGGUCUUCGGAUUGUAAAGCACUUUAAGUUGGAGGAAGGCUAAUUUACCUAAUACGUAAGUUGUUUUGAACGUUACCGACGAAUAAGCACCGGCUAACUCUGUGCCAG